UCAACCAGAGAGUAUGAUCCUGGCUCAGAACGAACGCUGGCGCCAUGCCUAACACAUGCAAGUCGAACGGCUCUUCGGAGCAGUG
rnacentral:rRNA from 1 species